rnacentral:rRNA from 1 species
GUACACUCCUACGGGAGGCAGCAGUGGGGAAUAUUGAACAAUGGGCGCAAGCCUGAUCCAGCCAUGCCGCGUGAGUGAUGAAGGCCCUAGGGUUGUAAAGCUCUUUCACCGGUGAAGAUAAUGACGGUAACCGGAGAAGAAGCCCCGGCUAACUUCGUGCCAGCAGCCGCGGUAAUACGAAGGGGGCUAGCGUUGUUCGGAUUUACUGGGCGUAAAGCGCACGUAGGCGGACUAUUAAGUCAGGGGUGAAAUCCCGGGGCUCAACCCCGGAACUGCCUUUGAUACUGGUAGUCUUGAGUUCGAGAGAGGUGAGUGGAAUUCCGAGUGUAGAGGUGAAAUUCGUAGAUAUUCGGAGGAACACCAGUGGCGAAGGCGGCUCACUGGCUCGAUACUGACGCUGAGGUGCGAAAGCGUGGGGAGCAAACAGGAUUAGAUACCCCAGUAGUCCCAUG